CUCUUUAUGGUGCUUGUGAGUCGAUGUUCAAACCUGACAUGGAACAAGAAGAGUUGUUUGAGACCAUCUCCCAAGCUCUUCUAUCAUCUGUUGAUCGAGAUUGUUUGAGUGGUUGGGGCGGACAUGUCUACGUUGUUACACCAACUGAAGUGACAGAGAGAAUCCUGAAGGGUAGAAUGGAUUAAGCUUUUCACAAAAAAACUACUUAGCAUUGAAUCUGUAUGGUUAGUGAUUACAGACAAUGAUCAUCUUUCACUUGCCCAGGGUC